rnacentral:rRNA from 1 species
CGGUUGAUCCUGCCGGAGGUCACUGCUAUUGGGAUCCGAUUGGCCAUGCGAGUCGGGAGGGUUCCGACCUCGGCUGACGGCUCAGUAACCCGCGGAGAAUCUGCCCUUAGGUGAGGGAUUCUCGGGAAACUGAGAAUAAUACCUCAUAGGUUAUGGAUGCUGGAAUGCUUCAUAGCCCAAAGCCCCGGCGCCUAAGGAUGACUCUGCGGACUAUCAGGUAGUAGUCAGGGUAACGACCUGACUAGCCUACGACGGAUACGGGGUGUGAGAGCACUAGCCCGGAGAUGGAUUCUGAGACACGAAUCCAGGCCCUACGGGGCGCAGCAGGCGCGAAACUUCCGCAAUGCUCGACAGAGUGACGGAGGGAUUCCAAGUGCCUACGCUAUGCGUAGGCUGUUUUUAUGUCUAAAUAACAUGGAGAGUAAGAGCUGGGUAAGACGGGUGCCAGCCGCCGCGGUAAUACCUGCAGCUCGAGUGGUGACCGCUAUUAUUGGGCCUAAAGCGUCCGUAGCCGGUUUUGUAAAUAUCUGGGUAAAUCGUGAGGCUUAACUUCACGAAUUUCGGAUAGACUGCUAGACUUGGGAUCGGGAGAGGUCAGAGGUACUCCAGGGGUAGCGGUGAAAUGUUGUAAUCCUUGGAGGACCACCGGUAGCGAAGGCGUCUGACUAGAACGAGUCCGACGGUGAGGGACGAAGCCCUGGGGCGCAAACCGGAUUAGAUACCCGGGUAGUCCAGGGUGUAAACAAUGUGGGCUUUGUAUUGGACGUUCCACGUGGGCGUCCAGUGCAGAAGAGAAGUUGUUAAGCCCACCGCCUGGGAAGUACGGUCGCAAGGCUGAAACUUAAAGGAAUUGGCGGGGGAGCAC